UGGAUCAAUGAUGACUGUGGGUGCUGUCUGAGUCGUGGAUUAUGACUUACAAGUCUGGGAGUCUGAGGUUCAC